rnacentral:tRNA from 1 species
GACAGUAUGGUUCAAUGGAAAGAACACUAGAUUUGGAGUCUGAAAACUUAGGUUUGAAUCCUGGUUCUGACG